rnacentral:pre_miRNA from 1 species
AGUGGGAUUGCUGGAUCUUAUGGUGAUUCCAUUUUUAGUUUUUUGAGCAACGUCUAUACUAUUUUCCAAAAUAGCUGUACUAAUUUGCAAUAUCACCAACAGU